GUACGUGGACGAAUCCCGGCCAUAAAGGCGUGCUGCGUUCCUCAGUCCCAACCACUGUAUGUGACAGGAGGCUAUAAGUUUACCCGAGGGUACUACGUUCCUCCAGCCUUUAUCCAGCGAUCAAAACUGAUGUUGACCCCACUCAAAGGAAGUACACCGGCAGAACCGGCUGAAUCCAAAGAGCACGACUGACUUCAAUCGUUUCCCUUUCAACAAUUUCACAUACUGUUUAACUCUCUUUCCAAAGUGCUUUUCAUCUUUCCCUCACGGUACUUGUUCGCUAUCGGUCUCUCGCCAAUAUUUAGCUUUAGAUGGAAUUUACCACCCAUUUUGAGCUGCAUUCCCAAACAACUCGACUCGUUGAAAAUGUAUCACAGAGCACUGGUAGUUCAUGUCAAGGACGGGAUUCUCACCCUCUAUGACGCCCUGUUCCAAGGGACUUGUACAUGAGCCAGCACGGAAAACACUUCUAUAGAUUACAACUCGGAUGACCUGAGGCCACCAGAUUUCAAAUUUGAGCUCUUCCCGCUUCACUCGCCGUUACUAGGGGAAUCCUUGUUAGUUUCUUUUCCUCCGCUUAUUGAUAUGCUUAAGUUCAGCGGGUAGUCCUACUUGAUUUGAGGCCAGAUGUCAAA
rnacentral:rRNA from 1 species